rnacentral:rRNA from 1 species
UACAGAGGGGGCAAGCGUUGUUCGGAAUUACUGGGCGUAAAGGGCGCGUAGGCGGCCAACUAAGUCGGACGUGAAAUCCCCGGGCUCAACCCGGGAACUGCGUCCGAUACUGGAUGGCUUGAAUCCGGGAGAGGGAUGUGGAAUUCCAGGUGUAGCGGUGAAAUGCGUAGAUAUCAGGAAGAACACCAAUGGCGAAAGCAGCUCUCUGGGACGGUACUGACGCUGAGACGCGAAAGCGUGGGGAGCGAACAGG